rnacentral:rRNA from 1 species
UACGUAGGGUGCGAGCGUUAAUCGGAAUUACUGGGCGUAAAGCGUGCGCAGGCGGUUAUGUAAGACAGUUGUGAAAUCCCCGGGUUCAACCUGGGAACUGCAUCUGUGACUGCAUAGCUAGAGUACGGUAGAGGGGGAUGGAAUUCCGCGUGUAGCAGUGAAAUGCGUAGAUAUGCGGAGGAACACCGAUGGCGAAGGCAAUCCCCUGGACCUGUACUGACGCUCAUGCACGAAAGCGUGGGGAGCAAACAGG